rnacentral:rRNA from 1 species
AACGAACGCUGGCGGCAUGCCUAACACAUGCAAGUCGAACGAGACCUUCGGGUCUAGUGGCGCACGGGUGCGUAACGCGUGGGAACCUGCCCUUAGGUUCGGAAUAACUCCCCGAAAGGGGUGCUAAUACCGGAUAAUGUCUUCGGACCAAUGAUUUAUCGCCUUUGGAUGGGCCCGCGUUGGAUUAGCUAGUUGGUAGGGUAAAAGCCUACCAAGGCGACGAUCCAUAGCUGGUCUGAGAGGAUGAUCAGCCACACUGGGACUGAGACACGGCCCAGACUCCUACGGGAGGCAGCAGUGGGGAAUAUUGGAAAAUGGGCGAAAGCCUGAUCCAGCAAUGCCGCGUGAGUGAUGAAGGCCUUAGGGUUGUAAAGCUCUUUUAACCGGGAUGAUAAUGACAGUACCGGGAGAAUAAGCUCCGGCUAACUCCGUG